UACUUUUUCCUCACAAACUCAUUAAACCCACUGAAAUCCACUAAAAAACAGUGGUUAAGCUUCUUGUUUUUCUUGAAAAUCCAUGGAUGCUCAUGGUUUGGUGAAUUUUUAAAUUCUGAAAUUCAUCUUGUCAGAUAGCAAUUCCUCUAUAAAUAGGGAGAUUGAGUUUGAAAUUUUUCUCACAAAUCAACAACAAUUCAUAAAAAUUAAAUCAACUAAAAGAAAGUGAAAACAGAAUUACAACUCCUCUGUUCUUCUAUUUUCGGCCACCACCACAACCACCACACAGCCACCACCUCCCCACUUUCCGACCACCUUUGGCGAACCCACACCCAGCCGACCAACCGCCGACCGUCGCCCUCCUCUCUCGCCGCACCUUCGUCUCCUUCGAUCCCCCCCCCCCCCCCUGCACACUCGUCUCUCUCUCUCUCCUCCGCGACACCACCGCACAUCAGCCCCUGACCUUUCUGCCCGUCACUAUUGCCUCACCCGUCGCCGUCGCCGCCGCGAACUGACGCCACCAGCAGGCCUCCGUCGCUGACCCACAUUCUUUCUCUCGCUCCUGCGUGUGUGUGUCUGGUGUAUAACUCGUUCCUCGGAGCUCAGUAAGGACGAUAUCACAGACAUAAGAAGAGGAUUAUUAUUAUCAUUCUGCAAUCAAGGUACUGCUAGGGACGAUGGUACUGCGUAGUGGCAAGGAUUACCACCUUAUUAAAUCAUCUAGUAAUAGUGCUACUAUCUUGUAAGGUUAAUUUAACUAGAAUGUAAGACCAUAUGCUUUAAUAUAAGUUAUCGUUGUUAUGUCUAGUAAC